GCGUACGUAGCUCAGCUGGAUAGAGUACCUGGCUACGAACCAGGCGGUCAGAGGUUCGAAUCCUCUCGGACGCGCCA
rnacentral:tRNA from 2 species